UACAGUUUCACCAAAUCUUUCCUCUUGUGUC
rnacentral:piRNA from 1 species